rnacentral:antisense_RNA from 1 species
ACAGGCUCUGCUAUGCUCUGACCACCACUACAGCAGCCCCAUUCUCCUUGCUGUGCUACUCACCUGGGGGUUGCUGAGCCAGCAGGGCCUCCGGAUGGGGUAGACUAAAUAGCAGUACUUUCCCGUCUGAGCAGGCCAGAGCCAAGAGACCCAACCGGGGCAGGAGAGGAGCCUAAAGGGUAAAAGGUCCCAAGGCCCCAGAGCUGGAGCAGCCCAGGACCCGAAUGAAGCUGGCUCAGUGGGUGUGUCUCAUUCAUGUCAGGGCUGGAGAAAAGAGCCACAUACUGCGAGGCUCCUGCCCCCUCUGGCACUGGGCACCAGUCCAGAGCCCAGAGCGGUCCUCCCGUGAAGAAGGACACAUCCCAGCGCUCUGGAUGUGCUGUGAUCGAGCUAAAUCUAGAGAAAAAUCAAAGAUGGGAUGAAGAAAGGAAUUAAUGAAAGAAUCAGAAAAAAGGGCGGAUGUGCAAUCUUCACCUGUUUAUUCGGUAGAGGGUGCCAUCUUCAGGUAGCCCUUCACGUUGUACAGAAAACAAUGGAGACUUCUCCUCCUGGGG